rnacentral:rRNA from 1 species
GAGUUUGAUUCUGGCUCAGGAUGAACGCUGGCGGCAUGCCUAACACAUGCAAGUUGAACGAGAAGUUCUGGAGGGAGUCUUCGGACGAACGAAGGAAUGGAAAGUAGCGAACGGGUGAGUAACGCGUGGGCAACCAACCUUACACAGGGGGAUAACGCAGAGAAAUUUGCGCUAAUACCGCAUAAGCGCACAGUACCGCAUGGUACGGUGUGAAAAACUCCGGUGGUGUAAGACGGGCCCGCGUCUGAUUAGUUAGUUGGUGAGGUAAAAGCUCACCAAGGCGACGAUCAGUAGCCGACCUGAGAGGGUGAUCGGCCACAUUGGGACUGAGACACGGCCCAAACUCCUACGGGAGGCAGCAGUGGGGGAUAUUGCACAAUGGAGGGAACUCUGAUGCAGCAAUGCCGCGUGAAGGAAGACGGUUUUCGGAUUGUAAACUUCUAUCAGCAGGGAAGAAAA